UUUUGUCAAGGGAACUGGUCUUGUUCAGCGUACUGUCCAUCAGAACUUCAAAGUACAAAUUUACUUUCCAGCUAGCUGGUCCCCAACUUAUGCAUAUACACAGCACUGGUCUUUUCUGUGUGCAGGACUUUCCCAUAUUGAACUUUUUGAAAUUUUAUAGUGAAAGAGAUGUGAUAAAAGAAAGGAGCUAGAAAUGGUAAGAGAGGAAGAGUACAAUGACUCUAUGCAAUGCUCCUGAAGAGAGCUGAGUGGAAUAGGGUCCUCCAAGAAGUAUUUCUCUGGAUCUUCUGCGGAUCCGUGUCUCUUCAGUUAGCAAGAGGCAAACUGACUUGAA